UGAGCUCCCUUCCAUGCUGGGAUUUCACUGCCGUUUCUUAAGAUCUGUUCCAUAGUGGGCAUGACCCAGAAUCUGGCUGUUAGGAUCAUCUUGAGCAGAUCCAAAAUCCCGUUGGCUUCAGGUAGGGCCAGCUCCAGCUCAUGGCUGUCCUGGAUGCUGCGAGGGGCCUGCCUGAUUUCCCUGCCUUCUCUCAUGGGACCAGAAUGUGCUUCUCUUGUGGGGACACAGAUUAAAGCUGGAGGAGACUUACAGCUUGGAGUCUUUUUUUUGAAGUUUAGGACUGGUGUGUUUAAGGAAGCCAAGGCCAACUUUCCUGGAAUGCUAAUAAGAAGUGUGUGUCCAAGAUCAUGCACAGAAACCUUGCAAGGGGACUAGUGAAGAAGGCACAGAGGCAGUGUCUGUGCUCAGGACUGCCUGGGCCACAGAACAGAACCCAGACUUCACGGACGGUCCUUUUCUUCUCUUCCUCCGGCACCACAAAACUGGUAGCAUUUUGUUCUGUAGUGGGUUCUCUUCUCCAUAAAAAGGCACAGUUGCUGGCCAUGUCCUCCCUUCCCCUUCUGCCUACCUUGCCUUGAUUUAAAUCUUGAGUGACCAAAUCAGUGUAGCAAUUUGCAUGGCAAAAUAAAAUGUGUGCACUUGGGUGGUUUGUGAAUGUUUGUUGGGAGCAUUCCACAGCUGCUUGAAUAACUGAGGCUUUGGAUGUGUGAUGUUUGGGGCUGAUGCUUGUUUUGCAAUACUUGAGGUGUCCUUGAGUGGUUCUGCCCUCCCUCUAUAAUCUGGGAUGGCUCCCCUCUCAGACUGUGCUUACUAUUUGUGGGUGUUUUUGGAGCAUCUCAGGAAUCCAUGGACCAGUCCUCUGCUCUUCUGUCCUGGGAUCACAUCAGAGCUCUGCUGCUCACUCCUGCCAACCUCCUCAGGAAAUGCCAGUGCCCAGGCCCUGUGGCUCACAAAGCCAGAGAUCUUGACAUGUUAACCCUGCAGCCACCCAGGGUCUGUCUCUUCAACAAUUGAGGCAGUAUCCCUCAGUGUCUUCUUCAGUGCCACACACAGCCCUGCAUGUUCCAUAUCUCAGAGAGUCCCUUGUAGAAAUAACUCAGGUACACGUCCAGGCCUUAGCAAUGAGCUUUGGGACUGGGCUACGAGGUGGUACUCUGAAGCAGAAGCCUGCAGCCCUCUCCAUCUCUGUCCCUGGAAGCACACACCAAACUCUGCCUAGUUCUCCUGAAGCCCCCAAGGAAACCCUCACAUACUCACCAGCUCCUGGGAACAAUGGCCCGUGUUUAUCACACAUGCUCCGAUGUGGCUCAGGCGUAUCUCUUGCUAAAGAAAAGAUCUCCCUACGUUAAUGUAUAUUUUGAUUACAAAAGAAUAUGUGUCGUGGCAGAAAUUUGGACUAUAGAAAAUAUGAAUAAAAUUUAAGUUGUCCACAGAUCUGUGGCCACGCACUGAAGAAGUUCUCAGACAGACGUGAGUGGACAUGCAGGGCUGACU